CAGGAGCAGUUGGGAAAUUGAUGUUGGACGCCAUUGUGCCGAGCCUGACGUUUUCGGAAGAAUUCAACUUCAGAGUCUGAGAUGAGCCUGGCUGCAGACGACAGCGUCUGAAAACAAUUCCAUUCCGGAAUGUGGGCAAAACAAGAUUGGUCUUUUUGUUCAGCUCGAUGAGCGUCACAGAAAACCAUCCAACCCGCCUCAGGUAAACUAAGACCA